rnacentral:rRNA from 1 species
AGUGAACGCUGGCGGUAGGCCUAACACAUGCAAGUCGAACGGCAGCACAGGAGAGCUUGCUCUCUGGGUGGCGAGUGGCGGACGGGUGAGGAAUACAUCGGAAUCUACUUUUUCGUGGGGGAUAACGUAGGGAAACUUACGCUAAUACCGCAUACGACCUACGGGUGAAAGCAGGGGGCCUUCGGGCCUUGCGCGAUUGAAUGAGCCGAUGUCGGAUUAGCUAGUUGGCGGGGUAAAGGCCCACCAAGGCGACGAUCCGUAGCUGGUCUGAGAGGAUGAUCAGCCACACUGGAACUGGGACACGGUCCAGACUCCUACGGGAGGCAGCAGUGGGGAAUAUUGGACAAUGGGCGCAAGCCUGAUCCAGCCAUACCGCGUGGGUGAAGAAGGCCUUCGGGUUGUAAAGCCCUUUUGUUGGGAAAGAAAUCCAGCUGGCUAAUACCCGGUUGGGAUGACGGUACCCAAAGAAUAAGCACCGGCUAACUUCGUGCCAGCAGCCGCCGUAA